UACGGGGGGGGCAAGCGUUGUUCGGAAUUACUGGGCGUAAAGGGCGUGUAGGCGGCCAACUAAGUCCGACGUGAAAUCCCCAGGCUCAACCUGGGAACUGCGUCUGAUACUGGAUGGCUUGAAUCCGGGAGAGGGAUGCAGAAUUCCAGGUGUAGCGAUGAAAUGCGUAGAUAUCUGGAGGAACACCGGUGGCGAAGGCGGCAUCCUGGACCGGUAUUGACGCUGAGGAGCGAAAGCCAGGGGAGCAAACGGG
rnacentral:rRNA from 1 species